UAUUUAGUGCUGUUUUGGCCAUAUAUUUAGGUGCUGUUUUGGUCCCCAUAUUUAGGUGCUGUUUUGGCCCCAUAUUUAGGUUCUGUUUUGGUCCCAUAUUUAGGUGCUGUUUUGGUCCCAUAUUUAGUGCUGUUUUGACCCUCAUACUUAUUGCUAUUUUGGCCAAGUACAGGGCCAAUUUGGGAUGUUAUUCUAAAUGACUAAAAUUCAUAUAGCUAACUUUUCUUCAGGAGUAUAGUAACACACGGACUAGUUUCGGAUAUGGAGCCAGAUUUAAGGGACGUCUUGGUAGAAGUUCUUGUCCAUGCAAAUGAUGUAGAGAUUUGCGAUGACAUGAAAUGCCA